CAGUAAACAUCCUGGGAAUGAAGAACGAUAACACCGGUAGUCACUCAACAACAAACGACAUCUACGUCCGCCUUGAGCGAACUCAGUGACACCAUCAGACAAAUUUCCUUUGGAAAUUUGAACUCCAAGGGCGGGGGUGUCACGUCCCGCGCUCCGCACGUGUCGUAACGAGAACAAGAAAACUAUUCUAUACAAAACGCGCGAAUAAAGAUUUGAAUACACAAACGAACACACGGCGCUACGAAACUAAAGGAAGGAUUAACAAAGCGAGGGCGACUAAUAAAUCCAAUCGGUAUAAAAUAAAAUAAAAUAAAUAAAACCAGCUAACGGAUUGAACGAGUUACGAACCAAACAAAUAAAUCAGGAAAUAAGAAUAACUACAAAAGGGGAAAUAAUUGAAACGCCAGAAAUACAAGUAUAUAUAAAUAUAUUUUAAUCAAUCAACUUGGAGAGUUACAUACAAGUAUAAACAUAUAUGCUAGGCAUGUAAUAAAUUAGUAAAUAUUAGAGUUAGCGCUUAUAAUACUAUGCAAUAAAUACAAUAUUAUCAAUUUAUGAAAUAUAAGUAUAUACAAAGUUAAAAACUAAUAGUCUAACGAAUACAUAAAACAUACAAUAUUGUAUUAUUAAAGAAAUAAAAUUACAUUGUCAGAAACAUAUAUAUAUGUGUGCGCAUUCUAUUAAACAGAUACAUACUUAAAACUAGCCUACGUUCCGGUAAAGAAUUAUAAAAUAAGAACUACAUUACGAAACAU